UUUCAGAUAUUAUUCAGGAAUUUAAGGACAAAGCAAUUGCUGAUGCACAUGCUGCCAAGUCACAAAUCCAAGGCAGCAAAAAGAAGAUGGUUACAUCCACCAACAUUAGCUCCCAGCCAAGCAAGUCCUCCAAGGAAAGCAAAAACAAGAACUCAUCUAAAGAUAAAUGACCAUGCUUGUUGAUGUUAAGUCGUUGACGAAGGGUGUUGUUGUGGCCUACUGCUUGCAUGUUGAGGAAAUGAGUGGUGGCUUCGUGCCUUGCUGUAAUGCUGUUUUUAAUUAUUCCAAGUUUGAAACUGCUUGCUGGCUGCUGCCUUUAUUUUAAAACUGUGAAUUGUAGUACUGCUUGUGACUUCUGAGCGUGAAUCACUGGAUUGUUAGUGAUUGUUGCUUGUUCUUUGAAUUUGAGAGAACCAUAAUAUUUAUGUCUUGUGCUGUUGUUUUAUAUUGAA